rnacentral:rRNA from 1 species
GAGUUUGAUCCUGGCUCAGGAUGAACGCUAGCGGCAGGCUUAAUACAUGCAAGUCGUGGGGCAGCAGCUCUGUAGCAAUACAGAGGCUGGCGACCGGCAAACGGGUGCGGAACACGUACACAACCUUCCUUUAAGUGGGGAAUAGCCCGGGGAAACCCGGAUUAAUACCCCGUAACAUAGUGAAGUGGCAUCACUUUAUUAUUAUAGCAGCAAUGCGCUUAUAGAUGGGUGUGCGACUGAUUAGGCAGUUGGCGGGGUAAUGGCCCACCAAACCUACGAUCAGUAACUGGUGUGAGAGCACGACCAGUCACACGGGCACUGAGACACGGGCCCGACUCCUACGGGAGGCAGCAGUAAGGAAUAUUGGUCAAUGGACGCAAGUCUGAACCAGCCAUGCCGCGUGGAGGAUGAAGGCCCUCUGGGUUGUAAACUUCUUUUAUCUGGGACGAAAAAGGGACUUUCUAGUUCAACUGACGGUACCAGAGGAAUAAGCACCGGCUAACUCCGUGCCAGCAGCCGC